rnacentral:rRNA from 1 species
AGUGAACGCUGGCGGUAGGCCUAACACAUGCAAGUCGAACGGCAGCACAGAGGAGCUUGCUCCUUGGGUGGCGAGUGGCGGACGGGUGAGGAAUACAUCGGAAUCUACUCUGUCGUGGGGGAUAACGUAGGGAAACUUACGCUAAUACCGCAUACGACCUACGGGUGAAAGCAGGGGAUCUUCGGACCUUGCGCGAUUGAAUGAGCCGAUGUCGGAUUAGCUAGUUGGCGGGGUAAAGGCCCACCAAGGCGACGAUCCGUAGCUGGUCUGAGAGGAUGAUCAGCCACACUGGACCUGAGAAACGGUCCAGACUCCGACGGGAGGCAGCAGUGGGGAAUAUUGGACAAUGGGCGGAAGCCUGAGCCAGCCAUACCGCGUGGGUGAAGAAGGCCUUCGGGUUGUAAAGCCCGUUUGUUGGGAAAGAAAUCCAUCUGGUUAAUACCCGGGUGGGAUGACGGUACCCAAAGAAUAAGCACCGGCUAACUUCGUGCCAGCCGCCGCAGUAA